ensembl:lncRNA
GAAAUGCAAAAAGUCGACUCGAAUAAGUGCGCCUUGGUAAAUUCUCAGAUGCACCCGGUUUUCCUGUGUGUUUGUGUACAUCUACAUUCACACUGUAGGAAGGUGACUUGGGGCAACCAGGAGACAAUAUGGUCGCCAUCCAGGACAGCAUUAAUAGCCGUACCAACAACAAGGAUUCUGGCUCUGUCACAACCCAAAAAAGAUUUGUCUGCCCUCAGUCAAGACCUGCUUAGGAAAAAGCACGAGGGGAUUGAAGAAGCAAAGAAGAGGAGCGCGUGUGUUCCUUCCAGUACAGCACAGUACGAACAUGUCGCGCGCCUGGCAACCCCAAAUGUUCGUCACAGGAGCUCCCAGGCAGUGAGUUAAAGGGACACUCCAGCAUUUUGAACCCGAUCUUCUAUCCACUGCAUCUGUAAUGUUUGUGCGAGUGUGAGAUUACUACAGACAAGAAUUUCUACACAUCAUCUUGUAGUGAGAAAAUGACAGACAACAUGUUUACUCCAAACUCACUCAAGUCUAAG